rnacentral:rRNA from 1 species
GACAGAGGGUGCAAACGUUUGUUCGGAAUCAUUGGGCGUAAAGCGCGCGUAGGCGGCCAGAUAAGUCCGGUGUGAAAGUCACAGGCUCAACCUGUGAAUGCCGCUGGAAACUGUCUGGCUAGAGUCCGGAAGGGGCGAGUGGAAUUCCUGGUGUAGCGGUGAAAUGCGCAGAUAUCAGGAGGAACACCGGUGGCGAAGGCGGGUCUCUGGGCCGAUACUGACGCUGAGGAGCGAAAGCGUGGGGAGCGAACAGG